rnacentral:rRNA from 1 species
ACACGACUACAUUAGAUACCCGGGUAGUCCUAGCCGUAAACGAUACUCGCUAGGUGUCGGCCACGGUGCGACCGUUGUCGGUGCCGUAGGGAAGCCGUGAAGCGAGCCACCUGGGAAGUACGGCCGCAAGGCUGAAACUUAAAGGAAUUGGCGGGGGAGCACAACAACGGGUGGAGCUUGUGGUUUAAUUGGAUUCAACGCCGGAAAUCUUACCGGGACCGACAGCAACAUGAAGGCCAAGCUGAAGACUUUGCCGGAUUAGCUG